CUGGGAAGCAGGGAGGAGAGAUGGAUAGAGCAGGAGGCCCAGGAAGCAGGCCCGGCUGGAUGAAAGAUGGGGAGAAAGAGUUCUAUGACCUCAAGCAAUUGGAGAAACCGAACCUCGGUGUUGUCAUAACCGAAACUGGGGUUGCCGUUGCUUCUGGACAGAAACGAUGUGAAGCUGAACUGACAGAUUGUGUCUCCAGGACCCAGCACAGCCCCCAACCCACGGCAGCAGGCCCUGGUGGCAGACUGGUGACAGCACCGAGCACCUCACUGAGGCUGUUGGGAGGGCCUCAGUGGUGGGGGACCCAUGGCGUCUGCUGUGACGGCAGUUGACUCAUCAAGUGAGGACAAGUGUCUCUGCCCACUCCUCUUCAUGUUUAUGGAGUGCCUACUGUAUACCCGGCCC